UACGUAGGGUGCAAGCGUUGUCCGGAAUUAUUGGGCGUAAAGGGAGUGUAGGCGGCUCAUUAAGUCUUCUGUGAAAUCUACGGGCUUAGCCUGUAACGUGCAGAGGAAACUGGUGGGCUUGAGUGUCGGAGAGGAUAGGGGAAUACCCAGUGUAGAGGUGAAAUUCGUAGAUAUUCGCAAGAACACCAAGUGGCGAAGGCGGCUUACUGGUCCGGUUCUGACGCUGAGGCGCGAAAGCGUGGGGAGCAAACAGGG
rnacentral:rRNA from 1 species